rnacentral:rRNA from 1 species
CAGCCGCCACGGGAAUACGGAGGGGGCUAGCGUUGUUCGGAAUUACUGGGCGUAAAGCGCACGUAGGCGGCUUGGUAAGUUAGAGGUGAAAGCCUGGAGCUCAACUCCAGAAUUGCCUUUAAGACUGCCGAGCUAGCAGGUGAGAGAGGUAAGUGGAAUUCCGAGUGUAGAGGUGAAAUUCGUAGAUAUUCGGAAGAACACCAGUGGCGAAGGCGGCUUACUGGCUCAUACUGGACGCUGAGGUGCGAAAGCGUGGGGAGCAAACAGGAUUAGAUACCCCCGUAGUCCCUGUCUCUUAUAC